UACGGGGGGGGCAAGCGUUGUUCGGAAUUACUGGGCGUAAAGGGGACGUAGGCGGCCAACUAAGUCGGACGUGAAAUCCCUCAGCUUAACUGGGGAACUGCGUCCGAUACUGGAUGGCUUGGAUUUGGGAGAGGGAUGCGGAAUUCCAGGUGUAGCGGUGAAAUGCGUAGAUAUCUGGAGGAACACCGGUGGCGAAGGCGGCAUCCUGGACCAAUAUUGACGCUGAGGAGCGAAAGCCAGGGGAGCAAACGGG
rnacentral:rRNA from 1 species